AUGGAAGAAGAAAUUGAUGAAACUGUGAGCUCAUUGGAUGAAAAAGAUGAUGAGGAGAGCGAAGAACAAAAGGAGGAAGAGUGGAUUGAUCACCCGUGCUCACCUUCUAAUGAGAGUAACUCUUCAACUCAUAUAUUGCUUAAUUCCCCUUCGUGCUUACCGAAGGAUGAUUGCUAUGAUGAUUGUUAUGAUCCCAUUGAUUCUCUUGAAAUAUCCCUUUUUGAUGAUUCUUGCUAUGCUUGUGGCCAAGAUGCCAAUAUGAAUUAUGCUUAUGGAGAUGAACUUGCUAUAGUUCCUCAUGUUAAACAUGAAAUUGUUGCUAUUGCACCCAUGCAUGAUAGUCCUAUUAUCUUUUUGAAUUCUCCAAACUACACUAUAUCGGAGAAGUUUGCACUUAUUAAGGAUUACAUUGAUGGGUUGCCUUUUACCGUUGCACAUGAUGAUUUUAAUGAGUAUAAUAUGCAUGUGCUUGCUGCUCCUACUUGCAAUUAUUAUGAGAGAGGAACUAUAUCUCCACCUCUCUAUGUUUCCAACAUGGUAAAAUUGCAAGAAACUGUUUAUACUAUGCAUUGGCCUUUACUUUGUGUGCAUGAAUUGUUCUUUUAUGACAUGCCGAUGCAUAGGAAGAGAGUUAGACUUCGUUGUUGCAUGAUAUAUGUUUCUUUGUGCUCACUACUAAAUGCCAAAUCAUUGCUAAUUAAAAUUGGCUUUGAUAUACCUUGGGAUCCGGGUGGAUUCACUACUUGA
rnacentral:rRNA from 1 species